AGAGGUAUAGCUCAGUGGCAGAGCACUUACAUAGCAUAUGCAAGGCCCUGGGUUCAAUCCCCAGUACUCCCC
rnacentral:tRNA from 1 species